CUCAUAUCAAUUAAGCGGAGGAAAAGAAACCAACAGGGAUUGCCCUAGUAACGGCGAGUGAAGCGGCAACAGCUCAAAUUUGAAAUCUGGCGCUUGCGCCCGAGUUGUAAUUUGCAGAGGAUGCUUUUGGCGCGGUGCCUUCCGAGUUCCCUGGAACGGGACGCCAUAGAGGGUGAGAGCCCCGUACGGUUGGACACCAAGCCUCUGUAAAGCUCCUUCGACGAGUCGAGUAGUUUGGGAAUGCUGCUCUAAAUGGGAGGUAAAUUUCUUCUAAAGCUAAAUACCGGCCAGAGACCGAUAGCGCACAAGUAGAGUGAUCGAAAGAUGAAAAGCACUUUGAAAAGAGGGUUAAAUAGCACGUGAAAUUGUCAAAGGGGAAGGGUUUAUGACCAGACUUGUGCCUGGCGGAUCAUCCGGUGUUCUCACCGGUGCACUUCGCCUGGUAUAGGCCAGCAUCGGUUUCCGUAGGGGGAUAAAGGCUUUGGGAACGUAGCUCUCUCCGGGGAGUGUUAUAGCCCAUUGUGUAAUACCCUUGUGGGGACCGAGGACCGCGCUUCGGCUAGGAUGCUGGCAUAAUGGUUAUUAACCACCCGUCUU
rnacentral:rRNA from 1 species